GCUAUACAAAGGUGUUCCGGUGGACUUGAACUCCACGCCAUGUGAAGAUUCAAAGAUCUCGGGGCCACCAACUACGAUAGUUGAAGCACUUCUGAUUUUUGCAAAGUUAUUCAUGGUUAAAGCAGUUGGAGAUUUCAAGAAGUUUCUCUGGACGGCUGUCAAAAUUGUAGGUAUGGUUUUACCUUUAACAAAGUCAUUAACCCGGCCCACUUUCUCUUUCGAUUUUCUGUUUCGAUUUC